UCCCUCUUUAUUCUUUUUGCACUCAUUUCCUUUAUCACCUAAUCCUCCUGCACUACCUUCUUCUUACAGUGAGCAAUCAUUCUUCAACUAUAGCCAUCCCAGGGUCCUCCCAUUCACGUUUAACCUGAAUCACACACAUGCAACUAUGUAACAGCUGCCUGUCUUCUGCAGGUAUCCGAGUUUCCACCUCUGACUUCAAUGAUUCUGUGUGUCUUAUGAGACACAGCCAAAAGCAAGAGGAGAAUACAGACAUAAUUACUGGGGGAUGUGAGCAUAACACAGAUAUUACUGAGCAACGAAGACACCUGAAAAUGUGAGCUUGCCAUGUCACUUUUAGUGAGCUGCAAGUAGCACACAUGAUAUUCCUACCAAAAAUGUCCGGGAGUGGACUUGGGUCCUUCGUGCAGUCCAUGUCCUUCUCCAGGCUUUUUGUGAGAUCACAAAGACAGGGAUAUAGAGGGAUGCGUGUAGCUGUCUCCAAGUCACCUGAUGUGCUGCGCACAGGACAUCCGUUUUAGCAUCUCAUGAACACAACACUCUUUUCCAUUGAGAAAAGGCUCUUUUAUCACUGUGCAAUUUGUCUUCAAUGGUGGAACGUGGACUCUGGUGCAGACUUGUAGGCAAGAAAUCACAGGACCUGGAACCUUCUCAGACAGUCCUCAUUUCCCACGAGGAAAGACACCUCAUCCCAACUUCGGGGAGAUCUGUUAACAACCGAGGUACAAACUUUUGGUCCAACAAGAGAGGCUAUUCCCUCAUUUUAUAGUGGAGAUACAUUUUACAUAUUUCUUUCCAUGACAACACUUAUAUAUGGAACAUCAGAGCUGGAAAAACCCUUAAGAGACUACCCAAAAUAAUAUUCUCUUUCCUCCACUGUUUCUACUCAUCUAAUCCAAAAGAAUUUCAACUGCAUCAUGUAUGCAAUGGGGACAAUGGAAACAUACUGUUCUUGCAAAUAUUUGGAAGAGCUGAAUUAAAGAAAGAUCAGAAAAAACUGGGAGAUAGACAUUGUGGAGGUGGGACGGGUUGAAGGGAAGGAGAAGUAAAAACAAACAAAAUGUUCUAUGUGUAUGUACCUCAUAAAGAAUAUAUUCAUUGUGUAUGGCAAACUUAUCCUAAUAACAAGUUUUAAAUAUGCUAUUCUUGCAACGUGUUUGUAAGGGAAUAAAAUGCACUUUCAAAGAACAUGGCAAAAUGGCAAGUCCACAAGCUGUACUCGAGAUGUAAAUGUAGGCAGUGUGAGCAUUUUCAAGAGGGCAGCUUUUCUGAGGAGUCGGAAAGUUACAGAAAGGGGUGGAAGAAGAGGAAGUAUACACAGAAGUACAAGCAUGGGGUGGUUCCACACAGGAGCGGGCAGGAAUGUGCAACUUCAUAACUAGCAGGUGUCAAGUUUUCUAUUGGCUUUGAGAAGACUUAGAGAUACAGGAACUGGGAAGUAACCUUGUUCUAUAUACAGAGCAAUGAGCAAGGAAGGAAGGUUGCAUGUUGAAUCUUAAAAUUAAUGAGAGAAAAGAAAGAAGGGAAAAAUGUAUAUAUAUACAUAAGAUAACUAAGA